rnacentral:rRNA from 1 species
UGGGGAAUAUUGCACAAUGGGCGCAAGCCUGAUGCAGCCAUGCCGCGUGUGUGAAGAAGGCCUUCGGGUUGUAAAGCACUUUCAGCGAGGAGGAAGGUGGUGAGCUUAAUACGCUCAUCAAUUGACGUUACUCGCAGAAGAAGCACCGGCUAACUCCGUGCCAGCAGCCGCGGUAAUACGGAGGGUGCAAGCGUUAAUCGGAAUUACUGGGCGUAAAGCGCACGCAGGCGGUUUGUUAAGUCAGAUGUGAAAUCCCCGGGCUCAACCUGGGAACUGCAUUUGAAACUGGCAAGCUAGAGUCUCGUAGAGGGGGUAGAAUUCCAGGUGUAGCGGUGAAAUGCGUAGAGAUCUGGAGGAAUACCGGUGGCGAAGGCGGCCCCCUGGACGAAGACUGACGCUCAGGUGCGAAAGCGUGGGGCAGCAAACAGGAUUAGAUACCCUGGUAGUCCACGCUGUAAACGAUGUCGAUUUUGGAGGUUGUGCCCUUGAGGCGUGGCUUCCGGAGCUAACGCGUUAAAUCGACCGCCUGGGGAGUACGGCCGCAAGGUU